rnacentral:rRNA from 8 species
AGACCCGAAACCCGGUGAUCUAGCCAUGGGCAGGUUGAAGGUUGGGUAACACUAACUGGAGGACCGAACCGACUAAUGUUGAAAAAUUAGCGGAUGACCUGUGGCUGGGGGUGAAAGGCCAAUCAAACCGGGAGAUAGCUGGUUCUCCCCGAAAGCUAUUUAGGUAGCGCCUCGUGAAUUCAUCUCCGGGGGUAGAGCACUGUUUCGGCUAGGGGGCCAUCCCGGCUUACCAACCCGAUGCAAACUGCGAAUACCGGAGAAUGUUAUCACGGGAGACACACGGCGGGUGCUAACGUCCGUCGUGAAGAGGGAAACAACCCAGACCGCCAGCUAAGGUCCCAAAGUCAUGGUUAAGUGGGAAACGAUGUGGGAAGGCCCAGACAGCCAGGAUGUUGGCUUAGAAGCAGCCAUCAUUUAAAGAAAGCGUAAUAGCUCACUGGUCGAGUCGGCCUGCGCGGAAGAUGUAACGGGGCUAAACCAUGCACCGAAGCUGCGGCAGCGACGCUGAUGCGUUGUUGGGUA